UAACACGUGGGUAACCUGCCUGUAAGACUGGGAUAACUCCGGGAAACCGGAGCUAAUACCGGAUAGUUCCUUGAACCGCAUGGUUCAAGGAUGAAAGACGGUUUCGGCUGUCACUUACAGAUGGACCCGCGGCGCAUUAGCUAGUUGGUGGGGUAAUGGCUCACCAAGGCGACGAUGCGUAGCCGACCUGAGAGGGUGAUCGGCCACACUGGGACUGAGACACGGCCCAGACUCCUACGGGAGGCAGCAGUAGGGAAUCUUCCGCAAUGGACGAAAGUCUGACGGAGCAACGCCGCGUGAGUGAUGAAGGUUUUCGGAUCGUAAAGCUCUGUUGUUAGGGAAGAACAAGUGCGAGAGUAACUGCUCGCACCUUGACGGUACCUAACCAGAAAGCCACGGCUAACUACGUGCCAGCAGCCGCGGUAAUACGUAGGUGGCAAGCGUUGUCCGGAAUUAUUGGGCGUAAAGGGCUCGCAGGCGGUUUCUUAAGUCUGAUGUGAAAGCCCCCGGCUCAACCGGGGAGGGUCAUUGGAAACUGGGAAACUUGAGUGCAGAAGAGGAGAGUGGAAUUCCACGUGUAGCGGUGAAAUGCGUAGAGAUGUGGAGGAACACCAGUGG
rnacentral:rRNA from 1 species